CCAACCCACCCCCUCUCCCUCUAUAUAAAGGGGCUUGGCAGCCCACUCCCUCCUCACUUGCUCUCAUUUCCCACUCUCCACUCCUCUCCACUCCUCUCCUUUGCCUCAUUUCUUUUCACUCCCUACUAUUUCCUCCACUCCCUCACACUCUCCUCCUCCACUUCCCCACGAAAAUGGUGCUCCCCUUGCUCCCAUGGCCGGCCAUGGCCAUGGAAAGCCACCAAGAUGAAGCUCCCUUCCUCCCUCAAGCUCAUCCUCACCAUGAGAGCCUCCCCCUCCAUCUUCUCCCCAACCUUAGAUGGUUUAAUCUCCUCUUCUUCUCCCUCCAUUGCUAAGAUUGGAUCUUGAUGCAGGUGCAUGUUGGUCCAAGCAUGGAGAAGGUUGAGCUAUCCUCAGAUCUGAAGUUCUUGAGCAAAAUCAAAAUCUGGUCAGAUCUGACUUUGUCGAAUUAAACCAGGAGCUUGGAGACGAAUUUUUGAAUGAAACCAACUGGGGGUACUUAGCUUGUGCCAUGGUGAUACCGAGAGAGGCAAUUGCUAAGUUGUGAUACUCUCAUACCUUUACUAGAUGCGAACAAUUCCGGAGAAGAAGAACAAGUGGAAUCGGAUGAGAAGAUUUUAUUUAUAAUGUUGGGAUUGUUAUAUUGAUGGAGUUGAAGAAGUACGGGGACAAAUAAGCCCAG